rnacentral:rRNA from 1 species
GAUGAACGCUGGCGGCGUGCUUAACACAUGCAAGUCGAACGGUGAAGCCCCAGCUUGCUGGAGUGGAUCAGUGGCGAACGGGUGAGUAACACGUGAGCAGCCUGCCCCUGACUCUGGGAUAACAGCCGGAAACGGCUGCUAAUACCGGAUAUGCGCCAUGAACGCAUGGUCUGUGGUGGGAAAGAUUGUUCGGUUGGGGAUGGGCUCGCGGCCUAUCAGCUUGUUGGUGGGGUAAUGGCUCACCAAGGCGUUGACGGGUAGCCGGCCCGAGAGGGUGACCGGCCACCAUGGGACUGAGACACGGCCCAGACUCCUACGGGAGGCAGCAGUGGGGAAUAUUUCACAAUGGGCGGAAGCCUGAUGCAGCAACGCCGCGUGGGGGGUGACGGCCUUUGGGUUGUAAACCCCUUUUGCCUGGGAAGAAGGGGGAGUGACGGUAACGGGUAAAAAAGCCCCGGCUAACUACGUG